rnacentral:rRNA from 1 species
CCUACGGGCGGCUGCAGUAGGGAAUAUUGCUCAAUGGGGGAAACCCUGAAGCAGCAACGCCGCGUGGGGGAUGAAGUUUUUAGGAUUGUAAACUCCUUUUGUUAGAGAAGAUUAUGACGGUAUCUAACGAAUAAGCACCGGCUAACUCCGUGCCAGCAGCCGCGGUAAUCCGUAGGGUGCAAGCGUUACUCGGAUUCACUGGGCGUAAAGAGUGCGUAGGCGGCGUAAUAAGUCAGAUGUGAAAUCCUGUAGCUCAACUACAGAACUGCAUUGGAAACUGUUAUUCUGGAGGGUGGGAGAGGUAGGUGGAAUUCCUGGUGUAGGGGUAAAAUUCGUAGAGAUCAAGAGGAAUACGCAUGGCGAAGGCGACCUGCUGGAACAUUACUGACGCUGAUGCACGAAAGCGUGGGGAGCAAACAGGAUUAGAUACCCCAGUAGUC